CGCUGUUUUGAGCUGCCUUUAUUUCUUUGUGUAGAUUUUUUGGAAUUAUCUUUUGGUCUUGAGAAUGUGGUAUAAUGGACAAAGAAUUAGGUUUUAUUGUCAGGUGGAUCUGGGUUAAAUCGUAACCUCUGGCAUUUACUGGCUGAGAAGGUAAAAGUAAAUAUCUCAGUGUUGUAAUGAUUGAAAUGCCUGAGUAUAUACUAGGUGCUCAGUAUGUGUUCAGGUACUGUAUUUAAUUCUGGGGAUUUUAAAAUGAAUAGAUAGGCUGGGCGCAGUGGCUCACACCAGUAAUCCUAGCAUUUUGGGAGGCCGAGGCAGGAGGAUUGCUUGAGCUCAGGAGUUCAAGAACAUCCUGGGCAACAUGGUGAAACCUUGUCUCUACAAAAAAAUACAAAAAUUAGCCAGGUGUGGUGGUGUGCGCCUGUAGUCUCUGCUACUCAGGGCUGAGGCGGGAGGAUAGCUUGAGCCUAGGAGGUCAAGGCUGCAGUGAGCCAUAUUCAUUCCCUUGCCCUCUGGCUUGGGUGACAAAAUGAGAUCCUGUCUUAAAAAAAAUACAAAGAUGAAUAGAUAAUCCUCAUCUUCAGAGAGCUCAAAACUUAGUGGUGAAUACUUGUAAAUAGGUCAUUAUGAUACCAAGCAGUACGUGCAAGGACUGAGGGCUAAAAGACUAAAACUGGAGGUAGGAGACCAAUAAGGAGGCUACUGCAACGGGCCAAGCAGUAGAUGAUGAGAGCUUGAGUGAAGGCAGUGGUGAGAGACACAGACCGGGGAGGGAGAGGAGGUUAAGCUCUUGGUGGCUACUUGAAGAGGGCUGGGAAGCAGGAGGAAAGAAGCUGUGGUGAUUUUUAGGUUGGAUGGAAAUGGUGAAACCACCUGAGAGAACACAGGCUGGGCCAGUUUGCGGGAAAGGUUGGUGAGCAUGUGGGCAUGGUGGUUGAAUCAUCUGUGUCUAGGCAGAAAUUCCUGAUAGGCAGUUGAGGAAAACAAGCUCAGUGUUGGAGUAAAAGCUUCAUCAAAUUAGGUUUCAGUGGUAUCCCCUGACAUUGGAAAAGGUAUUAUCUGCUAAUAUCUUAACAUUUUCUUUUGUCUUGUAUUUGCUUUCCUCUGGCAGGUGCAGAGAUUCUUAGAAGAGGAGGUGUAUCCCCUGUUAAAACCAUAUGAAAGCGUGAUGAAGUGUAAGCAAGUGCCAUUGGACAAGAACGUUGUCUGUGUCAUUCCUUGUUGUAUUUCCAAUAGCAAGAGCACAUCAGAUACUUGGCAACUAGGCAGUCUUCCAGCUUCUGCCACUGCGCCCGACUUCCUUGUUGCAUGGAUUUAUAGCUGAUUGAAGCAACUGUAGCCAAAGAUUGAGUUAAUUACCUACCUGCCAGGAGAGCACUAGUGUUAUUUAGCCCAUUCUCAUCCUACAUAUUUUUCGGCAUAGAUGAAAAUGAAAGCUUUUGUUUAUCAGAUUUGCAGAUGACACAAAACUGGGAGAAUUAACAAGUAUGUUUAUUUGGUAAAAUAAGUUUUCAUCUCUAACCUAAAUCGGCUGAAAUGAUGUGUCCUAAACUAGAGGAAAAAGUUAAUAAAGAUCAAUGUAAAUAAGUUAAUCUUAAACUCAGUAUGCACCAGAACUGAGAGAAGACUGUUUUAGGAGGUGUUAAUGGUUGUCCAGUGCCCAAAAAGCCACCAGAGGCUUACUGCUCCGCACUCUUGGCAUUACAUUCAAUUUUGGAUACCCAGUCUGAGGAAUAGAGAUGAACUGGAGAGCCAACCUCCAAAAAGAUCUUGUGGUGGAGGAAUGUUAGGGCUCUUUAUCCUAUACAGAAGAAAACUCCUCGGCACUUCAAAUAUUGCCAGGUGCAGGAAGAGUGACUUGAUUGUGUGUUGCCCCAAGAGACACACUGAGCUCAAUACCCAUUACUGAGACUGGCUUGGGGCCAGACAUUGGAACCACUGAGAUUAGCAACCUACACUCAAUCCCCCAGGUCAGGCAGAAGCUGGAAGACUGCCUCGUUAGGAAUGUUGUGAGGGAGAGGAGGCUGAAUCGGUUCCAGUUUUAUUUAAAAGUAGCCAGGAAAUCAGGUUGCGAUGAUGCGCAUUUACAGUCCCAGCUACUUGGGAAGCUGAGGCGAUAGGGUCACUUGAGCCCAAGAGUUUAGUCCAGGCUGGGUGACAGCGAGCCCUUGUCACUUAAAGCCAACCUAAGAGAAGAGCUUAUCCUUUUGGAAAAACAAUAGAAGACAAUUCUGAAAACCAAAUUCUGAACAUAGGCUAGUAUAGCAAGCAAGCAGGGAUAGCAUAGAGCCAUUUGCUCAACUUCCAGAAAGAGUUACUCUGUUCAUCUCUAAAAAAUCUUGAAAAGGGCCGGGUGCGGUGGUGGCUCACGCCUGUAAUCCCAACACUUUGGGAGGCCGAGGCAGGUGGAUCACCUGAGGUCAGGAGUUCGAGACCAGCUUGACCGACAAGGUGAAACUCCGUCUCUACUAAAAAUACAAUCAACCGGGCGUGGUGGCAGGCGCCUAUAGUCCCAGCUACUUGGG
rnacentral:lncRNA from 1 species